rnacentral:misc_RNA from 1 species
GAUGAAGAACGUAGCGAAAUGCGAUACUUGGUGUGAAUUGGAGAAUCCCGUGAACCAUCGAGUCUUUGAACGCAAGUUGCGCCCGAAGCCAUUAGGCCGAGGGCACGCCUGCCUGGGCGUCACACGUCGUUGCCCCCCCAUCUACUCCUUCGGGAUUGCGGGGGGCGGAUGAUGGCCUCCCGUGCGCCUCGUCGCGCGGUUGGCAUAAAUGCCAAGUCCUCGGCGACGCACGCCACGACAAUCGGUGGUUGCGAAACCUCGGUUGCCCGUCGUGUGCGGUCGUCGCGCAUCGAGGGCUCGAAAAAAUUGUCGGGCUCCGGCUCGGCUUUCAACGCGACCCCAGGUCAGGCGGGGUUACCCGCUGAAUUUAAGCAUAUCAAUAAGCGGAGGA